AUUGAACGCUGGCGGCAGGCCUAACACAUGCAAGUCGAACGGUAACAGGAAACAGCUUGCUGUUUCGCUGACGAGUGGCGGACGGGUGAGUCAUGUCUGGGAAACUGCCUGAUGGAGGGGGAUAACUACUGGAAACGGUAGCUAAUACCGCAUAACGUCGCAAGACCAAAGAGGGGGACCUUCGGGCCUCUUGCCAUCAGAUGUGCCCAGAUGGGAUUAGCUAGUAGGUGGGGUAACGGCUCACCUAGGCGACGAUCCCUAUCUGGUCUGAGAGGAUGACCAGCCACACUGGAACUGAGACGCGGUCCAGACUCCUACGGGAGGCAGCAGUGGGGAAUAUUGCACAAUGGGCGCAAGCCUGAUGCAGCCAUGCCGCGUGUAUGAAGAAGGCCUUCGGGUUGUAAAGUACUUUCAGCGGGGAGGAAGGGAGUAAAGUUAAUACCUUGGCUCAUUGACGUUACCCGCAGAAGAAGCACCGGCUAACUCCGUG
rnacentral:rRNA from 1 species